rnacentral:ncRNA from 2 species
GAAUUCUAAGGCGAUGGAGUUCGCCAAACUGCUACACGGUAGCUGAUAACUCCUAUUGAGGU